rnacentral:rRNA from 1 species
GACGAACGCUGGCGGCGUGCUUAACACAUGCAAGUCGAACGGAAAGGCCCUGCUUUUGUGGGGUGCUCGAGUGGCGAACGGGUGAGUAACACGUGAGUAACCUGCCCUUGACUUUGGGAUAACUUCAGGAAACUGGGGCUAAUACCGGAUAGGAGCUCCUGCUGCAUGGUGGGGGUUGGAAAGUUUCGGCGGUUGGGGAUGGACUCGCGGCAUAUCAGCUUGUUGGUGGGGUAGUGGCUUACCAAGGCUUUGAAGGGUAGCCGGCCUGGGAGGUUGGCCGGCCACAUUGGGCCUGAGAUACGGCCCAGACUCCUACGGGAGGCAGCAGUGGGGAAUAUUGCACAAUGGGCGGAAGCCUGAUGCAGCAGCGCCGCGUGCGGGAUGACGGCUUUCGGGUUGUAAACCGCUUUCGCCUGUGACGAAGCGUGAGUGACGGUAAUGAGUAAAGAAGCACCGGCUAACUACGUG